UACGAACCGUGCGAACGUUGUUCGGAUUCACUGGGCUUAAAGGGCGCGUAGGCGGGCCGCCAAGUCAGGGGUGAAAUCCUCCGGCUCAACCGUGGAACUGCCUCGGAUACUGGCGGGCUCGAGGGGGGUAGGGGCAUGCGGAACUGUGGGUGGAGCGGUGAAAUGCGUUGAUAUCCACAGGAACUCCGGUGGCGAAGGCGGCGUGCUGGACCUCUUCUGACGCUGAGGCGCGAAAGCUAGGGGAGCAAACGGG
rnacentral:rRNA from 1 species